UCAUUUGCAACGUCGAGCGGACAGAAGGGAGCUUGCUCCCGGAUGUUAGCGGCGGACGGGUGAGUAACACGUGGGUAACCUGCCUGUAAGACUGGGAUAACUCCGGGAAACCGGAGCUAAUACCGUGGACCCGCGGCGCAUUAGCUAGUUGGUGGGGUAAUGGCUCACCAAGGCGACGAUGCGUAGCCGACCUGAGAGGGUGAUCGGCCACACUGGGACUGAGACACGGCCCAGACUCCUACGGGAGGCAGCAGUAGGGAAUCUUCCGCAAUGGACGAAAGUCUGACGGAGCAACGCCGCGUGAGUGAUGAAGGUUUUCGGAUCGUAAAGCUCUGUUGUUAGGGAAGAACAAGUGCGAGAGUAACUGCUCGCACCUUGACGGUACCUAACCAGAAAGCCACGGCUAACUACGUGCCAGCAGCCGCGGUAAUACGUAGGUGGCAAGCGUUGUCCGGAAUUAUUGGGCGUAAAGGGCUCGCAGGCGGUUUCUUAAGUCUGAUGUGAAAGCCCCCGGCUCAACCGGGGAGGGUCAUUGGAAACUGGGAAACUUGAGUGCAGAAGAGGAGAGUGGAAUUCCACGUGUAGCGGUGAAAUGCGUAGAGAUGUGGAGGAACACCAGUGGCCGAAGGCGACUCCUCUGGUCUGUAACUGACGCUGAGGAGCGAAAGCGUGGGGGAGGCGAACAGGAUUAGAAUACCCUGGUAGUCCACGCCGUAAACGAUGGAGUGCUAAGUGUUAGGGGGUUUCCGCCCCCUUAGUGGCCUGCAGCUACCGCAUAAAGCACUCCGCCUGGGGGAGAUACGUUCGCAAGACUGAAAUCUCAAAGGGAAUUGACGGGGGCCCGCACAAAGCGCGGCUUCAAUCCGGGGAGGUUCAUUGAAAACUGGGAAACUUGAGUGCAGAAGAGGAGAGUGGCAAAUCCCACGUGUAGCGGUGGAAUGCGUUAGAGAUGUGGAGGAACACCAGUGGGCGAAGGCGACUCUCUGGUCUGUAAACUGACGCUGAGGAGCGAAAGCGUGGGGGAGCGAAACAGGAUUAGAUACCCUGGUAGUUCCACGCCGUAAAACGAUGAGUGCUAAGUGUUAAGGGGGGUUUCCGCCCCUUAGUGCUGCAGCUAACGCAUUAAGCACUCCGCCUGGGGAGUACGGUCGCAAGACUGAAACUCAAAAGGAAAUGACGGGGGCCCGCACAAGCGGUGGAGCAUGUGGUUUAAUUCGAAGCAACGCGAAGAACCUUACCAGGUCUUGACAUCCUCUGACAACCCUAGAGAUAGGGCUUUCCCUUCGGGGACAGAGUGACAGGUGGUGCAUGGUUGUCGUCAGCUCGUGUCGUGAGAUGUUGGGUUAAGUCCCGCAACGAGCGCAACCCUUGAUCUUAGUUGCCAGCAUUUAGUUGGGCACUCUAAGGUGACUGCCGGUGACAAACCGGAGGAAGGUGGGGAUGACGUCAAAUCAUCAUGCCCCUUAUGACCUGGGCUACACACGUGCUACAAUGGACAGAACAAAGGGCUGCAAGACCGCAAGGUUUAGCCAAUCCCAUAAAUCUGUUCUCAGUUCGGAUCGCAGUCUGCAACUCGACUGCGUGAAGCUGGAAUCGCUAGUAAUCGCGGAUCAGCAUGCCGCGGUGAAUACGUUCCCGGGCCUUGUACACACCGCCCGUCACACCACGAGAGUUUGUAACACCCGAAGUCGGUGAGGUAACCUUUAUGGAGCCAGCCGCCGAAGGUGGGGCAGAUGAUUG
rnacentral:rRNA from 1 species